UACAGAGGUCUCAAGCGUUGUUCGGAUUCAUUGGGCGUAAAGGGUGCGUAGGCGGCGCGGUAAGUCGGGUGUGAAAUCUCGGAGCUUAACUCCGAAACUGCAUUCGAUACUGCCGUGCUUGAGGACUGGAGAGGAGACUGGAAUUUACGGUGUAGCGGUGAAAUGCGUAGAGAUCGGAAGGAACACCAGUGGCGAAGGCGUCUACCUGGCCUAAUACUGACACUGAGGCACGAAAGCGUGGGGAGCAAACAGG
rnacentral:rRNA from 1 species